UAGAUGUUUGACAGUUGUUGAUCGGAUAGAAAUUGCGAAGAAUUAAUUCCUGUUGGAUUACCGAUUUAAUUACGACCAUGGAUUAUACCGGUACACAUAGCAGAGCUUGUCGCGUCAGCCAGACCAAGAGAUCACCCAAGGGACCGAAUCGCCCCAAUCGGAUAGCUCGACUGGCCACAACUGCAGUCCAAAUACCAGAAUGCAUCCAUGCCACCUGGUUUUUGACAUUACUGCUGUGGACAGAUUUUCAGCAAUGCAUGUAUUGCCAUGCUAUGUAUUACUGGAGGCAAUAGGUUUGGAAAUAAACCAGACUUUUGUCAAGGUUUCC